AGAGUUUGAUCAUGGCUCAGAUUGAACGCUGGCGGCAUGCCUUACACAUGCAAGUCGAGCGGCAGCGCGGGGGCAACCCUGGCGGCGAGCGGCGGACGGGUGAGUAAUACAUCGGAACGUGUCCUUUCGUGGGGGAUAACCAGUCGAAAGACUGGCUAAUACCGCAUGAGAUCUCACGAUGAAAGCGGGGGACCGCAAGGCCUCGCGCGAUUGGAGCGGCCGAUGUCGGAUUAGCUAGUUGGCGGGGUAAAAGCCCACCAAGGCGACGAUCCGUAGCUGGUUUGAGAGAACGACCAGCCACACUGGGACUGAGACACGGCCCAGACUCCUACGGGAGGCAGCAGUGGGGAAUUUUGGACAAUGGGCGCAAGCCUGAUCCAGCCAUGCCGCGUGUGUGAAGAAGGCCUUCGGGUUGUAAAGCACUUUCGGCCGGAACGAAAUCGCCUUUGUUAAUAGCGAAGGUGGAUGACGGUACCGGAAGAAGAAGCACCGGCUAACUACGUGCCAGCAGCCGCGGUAAUACGUAGGGUGCGAGCGUUAAUCGGAAUUACUGGGCGUAAAGGGUGCGCAGGCGGCCCCGCAAGUCAGGCGUGAAAUCCCCGGGCUUAACCUGGGAAUGGCGCUUGAAACUACGGGGCUGGAGUAUGGCA
rnacentral:rRNA from 1 species